ACGGGAUGGCGGCAGCAGCGCAAAAUAAAGACAUGAGGCUGGAAAAGACAAACCCAGAUGCUGCGCGGAGAGAAAAGAGGAGACCAGAUGAAUGAUGAGAAAUGAAUUUAAAGAGGAAAAUCAGGGAGAAUGAGAGCGGUGUCUGGACCAACGAGCAGCCGCAGGGUCCGGAGGAGCAGAGGAGCAGAGCGGCCGCUGAACCCGCGGACACCGUCACGUCACGACCACGCUGCCUCAAGACACACGUCCAGAUCCGCUCAAUGUGACCAUCAGCGCGCAGGUCCACGCUACUGAGAUUUAGAUCAGAUAGUGUCAUCCAACAAAUAACGUCCUGCUUGGAUUAUCGUUAAACACGGCGAGAAUCAACGUCAUACAAGUUUAAAAUUCGUUAUGAAACGAGAAUAAUAGUUUUUUCAACGAACUUUAAGUAAUAUGUAAUAACUCAGAUUAAAUAAAUCAAACGCGACUGUGUUAUUAUAAAAUGAGUUGUGAUGUGUAAUGUGAUGUUGUAAAGAUCGCCAGGAUCUGAUUUGAGGCUUCAGCAAAAAUGACAACGGACGACAAACAAGUGUUUUUGCUGGAGAGCUAAAUGUGCCUAGAGAAGCUAAAACUGCUCCAGACUCCUGUGACCCUGAUGAUAGACAUCCAUGCUUCAGCUUACCUGACAGUGAGACCACAGCUGGGGACCAGAACCAAGUCUAAGCACCACGAGCAGCAGCUUCACUGGGCCUGAUGCAGAAUAAUGCAGCUGCUAAGUUGUUUAGUCUGACAGAGCAAGUAUUAUCAAAAACAACAGCUACAUCAUUAUUCCCCCAACAGGUUCACUGUGAUAUGUGGUUUAUUAGACUUGUGUUUCUGGAUCCAUGCGAGACCUUCCUCAGAGAUGCUUGACAUCAGCACAGUGACACAUACCUGCAUGAAUGACCUGCUCUCACACAAAUCCUCUAAAAUCUGCCCAGCGCUGCAGCAAAGACAGGCUGAUUCGGAUGUAUUUGAAAGUGUCACACUGUUUCCAGGCAGUCUGCCCACUCACCAGGCCACAUGGUGUGUUUAAGGACUCAGUGUGAAGGCAGUGGAAUCAUGGAGUCAUCUAGGGGGAAGUAGUUUAAACAACUAUUCUAUCUGAAGUCCACCAUUAAGAACUCUACCUCUUUUAAAGCUGACUCAUAAUCUAUAGUUCUGGAGCCGACUGGUGACUUUCUCCACCUAUAGCUGAGUACAUUUUAUUUGUUUAAACAAAUGUGUGAUAGUGAAUAAAUGCACUUUUGUGUGGUCCUACCUUCUUCAUUUACUAUAAAUAUUCAGCUGUUUUCUGCAGAGCAGUAUAAAAUAAACUAGACCGUCACAUGCAUAAAUGUGCCUCUUCCUGUAUAAUGAAACAUCAAUGAUCUGCAUGAUGAAAGUCCAAAACAUCUAGAUAUAAAUAAAUAUGAUUCUGAACAUCUGAACAUCAUGAAGUAGCAUUUUGUUGCUUAAGAAUUGCAAAAACAGAAGUGAUGACACUAAAUUGCAUUUGGAGGAACGACAUUUACCUGCAGUAAUUCUCUGAGCAAGAGGAGGAUGUCAAGCGUCAACUAAAUGUGUAACCAAGCAACUAUGUGCUGCAUGAGGAGCUAAACUGAACCACUGAAAUAUUUUACAAUUAAAAUUCCCUCCUUGUGUGUUGA